GGGCGCAUGGUUUAGUGGUAUAAUACUCCCUUAGCAUGUUUCGAUCAAAUCGACUCAGCUAGCUUGGGAGUGGUCCUGGGUUCGAUUCCCAGUGUGUCCA